UGCCAUUCGGGCUGUAAAACCCAGUACGCAGU
rnacentral:piRNA from 1 species